UCGUGGCGUGGGUUGUCUACUUGAUUGUGAUAACGAACGAGACCUUAACCUGCUAAAUAGCCAGGCUAGCUUUGGCUGGUCGACGGCUUCUUAGAGGGACUUUCGGCUCAAGCCGAAGGAAGUUUGAGGCAAUAACA
rnacentral:rRNA from 1 species